UAUAUAUUGCCGAUUUGUUAUUAAUUCGCGAACGUGAUUUUGAAGCGUGGAAGAAAUAAAACGCCGACGAUAUAUCCAGUGUGACCGUUAUACGAAUAUAUUGGUAACACUUUAUUAGUUAUGGGAAGUAUUCCAAAUGUGUGUGUGAAUGAGCGCAAUUUUUUGAAUAGCAUCUCUGUGAUGGAAAGGAUAACAAUGACUUGGCGCGAAAUUUUGAAAUAAAGCAAAAUUAUAAAAUGUUGAAUAUGGUUUCAUUUUACUGUAAAUGUGUAUU